GAAGAAGAAGGGGUGUGCGUACUGUGCUCUUUGCUGUGUCUUUCCGCCGUUUUAAAAAUGGGCACUUUUUGAAGAACCCGCAUCAAAGUAUUGUGGAGAAGCGUCGUGUUAAAUCUAAUUGAUGAACGGCUUUUUGUCAGUUCUGACGAGGACAGCUGAGUGAUGUUGUUGGUGAGCUUGGAUUAAAUCAUCUCUAAACAAAGAACUUGUCCUCGUGGUGACUGACUUGGGGAGUGGAGGUCAGUGAGCCCAUUGUCUCUGCUGGUCCGACUCCAACUACAAAGCCGGCCCGCUCGCCCCCUCCUGAGUCUGAGAGGAGAUCCAGA